CCUACGGGAGGCAGCAGUCGGGAAUAUUGCGCAAUGGAGGAAACUCUGACGCAGUGACGCCGCGUAUAGGAAGAAGGUUUUCCGAUUGUAAACUCUUGUCGUUAGGGAAGAUAAAAGACUGUACCUAACGAGGCCGCCCCGGCUCACUAGGUGCCAGCACCCGCGGGAAUACAUAGGGGGCAGGCGUUAUCCGGAAUUAUUGGGUGUAAAGGGGUCUUAGACGGAAGAACAAGUUGGUUGUGAAAUCCCUCGGCUCAACUGAGGAACUGCAACCAAAACUAUUGUCCUUGAGUGUCGGAGAGGAAAGUGGAAUGCCUAGUGUAGCGGUGAAAUGCGUAGAUAUUAGGAGGAACACCAGUGGCGAAGGCGACUUGCUGGACGAUAACUGACGUUGAGGCACGAAAGUGUGGGGAGCAAACAGGAUUAGAUACCCGUGUAGUC
rnacentral:rRNA from 1 species